rnacentral:rRNA from 1 species
UAGGGAAUAUUGGGCAAUGGAGGGAACUCUGACCCAGCAAUGCCGCGUGAGUGAUGAAGGCCUUAGGGUUGUAAUGCUCUUUUGGCGGGGACGAUAAUGACGGUACCCGCAGAAUAAGCCCCGGCUAACUUCGUGCCAGCAGCCGCGGUAAUACGAAGGGGGCUAGCGUUGUUCGGAAUUACUGGGCGUAAAGCGCACGUAGGCGGAUCAGCAAGUCAGGGGUGAAAUCCCGGGGCUCAACCUCGGAACUGCCUCUGAUACUGCUGGUCUGGAGUCCGGAAGAGGUGGGUGGAAUUCCUAGUGUAGAGGUGAAAUUCGCAGAUAUUAGGAAGAACACCGGUGGCGAAGGCGGCCCACUGGAUCGGUACUGACGCUGAGGUGCGAAAGCGUGGGGAGCAAACAGGAUUAGAUACCCAAGUAGUCCCUGAGCGGGCUGGCAAGGCG